UAGGCUGGAUCCAUGUAUGC
rnacentral:piRNA from 1 species